AAAGUCGUAACAAGGUCUCCGUUGGUGAACCAGCGGAGGGAUCAUUACCGAGUUUACACUCCCAACCCUUUGUGAACCUUACCUACCGUUGCUUCGGCGGACCGCCCCGGGCGCUGCGUGCCCCGGACCCAGGCGCCCGCCGGGGACCAACUCAAACCCUGUUUUUGUUUUUUUCAAAACAUGUGUAUCUUCUGAGCGAGCCGAAAGGCGUCAAAAAACAAUCAAAACUUUCAACAACGGAUCUCUUGGUUCUG
rnacentral:misc_RNA from 1 species